AGGUGCGAUCAUACCAGCACUAA
rnacentral:rRNA from 2 species